CUCCAUGUUGUUGGCCGCUGUGCUGUGUCCAUCCACGGCGAUUCUUCCCACAGAGUUCUGAAGCAAAAGGCUUACAAUUAAAGGAAUAAAACAUUUAAAGAUAAUUCGGGAGUACCAUGGACAAAGCGUGUGGGUCGCUUAGACUCCAGCAGUAACUCCUGAUCUGCAGUUCCCAGGGGUGUCCGGUAAGGAGAACAUCACUACAGCGGUUUUAAAGAAGCGUCAGGAGGAGAUGCGGCCCCUGAACAUCGACGAGGUGGAAGCACCAGAGGAGGUGCAGGUGCUGGAGCCCGAGGAGGAUUUCGAGCGGUUCCUGCUCCCGGUCAUCAACGAGAUGCGCGAGGACAUCGCGUCUUUUAUACGCGAGCCCGGGCCCGCGUACCUGCGGACCAGGAGCAAGCUGUGGGAAAUGAACAAUAUCCUCAUCUAGAUCAAAACGCUGGUGGAGGCCUCGGAGGAGAGUGCCCUCAACCACGUGCAGCACCUGAGUGGCGAAGCCGACGAGAGAGUGUCGGAGUUGUGCGAGAAGGCCAAGGAGAAGGCCAAGGAGAUCGCGAAGAUGGCAGAGAUGCUGGUCGAGCUCAUUUGGCGAAUAGAGAGAAGUUCAUAGUUGAGGACUAUAGUCAACUGGUAAGGAUGAACUAACACAUUGAGGAAACUGAAACAGCUUAUCAUCUUCUCUGUUUUGUUUUUGUAUGUUUUUUACCCCCAUGUAAUAGUCUCCCUUAUGGUCCAUGAUUGAUAACCUUGAUAUGGGUUUACAUCAUCAAAUGUAUUUGGUUCUGGAAGGAUAACUUUUGUGGGAGAAAUACUGUUGUAAGAGAAACGGGGCUUAAUCAAAAGUUGUUUUUGCGGUACGUUUAUUCUUGUUACUUUGCUGUGCUUUUGAAAUGUUGGGCAUGGCCUUGUAUUUUGCUGUUACCUUUGUGACCUGAUUGUAUUUUGGAACAUGUCAAGACUUGGGAUCAGAAUCUUCCAACUUUAGAGGUGCAGUGGAAGGCACUGCACUACUUGGUUGAGCCUCGUGAAGAAUGUAUUAAUGAGACUGCUUUGCAUAAAGCUGGGAAGACCGAGAAGGCAAUUGGAGAUGAAAGUGGUUUUGUAUAUAUUUUGGAACUUUCGUUCCUCUGUGAGACGAAAGAGGAGAGCUAUGUUUUGUGGCACAUUGUCUGAUGUAUAUUGUGUAAUCUGUCAGGUGAGUUGAUUUAGACGACAUAGCUGACCUUAUAUGUCAAGGCAGUGAGUAUGGACUAUUGUAAUACCCUCACACAUAACGAGGCUUCAGAGAAUGGCACUGAAGAGACAGUCUACAAAGAGUCUUGAGAGACUGGAGAAAGGAAAAGACAUUAUCAGGGCCUGGAAAGUCUCUUCCAGUUCAUCAGGGUAGUAGACCUGUCAGAUUGGAGGUUAAAGUCAAACUUAUAAUAAGUGUUAAUUUGCCUUGAAAAACAAAGACCUCAAAAGCCUUUUUUAAGAAAUAAAUUUUUCGUUCACAUGACCAAAGCCCCUCCUGUGUGUGUUAACAAAAGAAUCAUAAAUUUUUUUGAAAUGGAAAAAAAA